rnacentral:rRNA from 1 species
CCUACGGGUGGCAGCAGUCGAGAAUCAUUCACAAUGGGGGAAACCCUGAUGGUGCGACGCCGCGUGGGGGAAUGCAGGUCUUCGGAUUGUAAACCCCUGUCAUGUGGGAGCAAAUUAAAAAGAUAGUACCACAAGAGGAAGAGACGGCUAACUCUGUGCCAGCAGCCGCGGUAAUACAGAGGUCUCAAGCGUUGUUCGGAAUCACUGGGCGUAAAGCGUGCGUAGGCUGUUUCGUAAGUCGUGUGUGAAAGGCGCGGGCUCAACCCGCGGACGGCACAUGAUACUGCGAGACUAGAGUGAUGGAGGGGGAACCGGAAUGCUCGGUGUAGCAGUGAAAUGCGUAGAUAUCGAGAGGAACACUCGUGGCGAAGGCGGGUUCCUAGACAUUAACUGACGCUGAGGCACGAAGGCCAGGGGAGCGAAAGGGAUUAGAUACCCCUGUAGUC